AGAGAGUUAAACAGCACGUGAAAUUGUUGAAAGGGAAGCGCUUGCGACCAGACUCGCCCGCGGGGUUCAGCCGGCAUUCGUGCCGGUGUACUUCCCCGUGGGCGGCCCAGCGUCGGUUUGGGCGGCCGGUCAAAGGCCCCUGGAAUGUAGUGCCCUCCGGGGCACCUUAUAGCCAGGGGUGCAAUGCGGCCAGCCUGGACCGAGGAACGCGCUUCGGCUCGGACGCUGGCAUAAUGGUCGUAAACGACCCGUCUUGAAACACGGACCAAG
rnacentral:rRNA from 1 species